UACGUAGGGGCGAGCGUUGUCCGGAUUUAUUGGGCGUAAAGCGCUCGCAGGUGGUCCGAUGCGUCGUGCGUGAAAGACCCCGGCUCAACUGCGGGUCUGCAGUCGAUACGGGCAGGCUAGAGUUCGGUAGGGGAGACUGGAAUUCCUGGUGUAGCGGUGAAAUGCGCAGAUAUCAGGAGGAACACCGGUGGCGAAGGCGGGUCUCUGGGCCGGAUACUGACGCUGAGGAGCGAAAGCGUGGGGAGCGAACAGG
rnacentral:rRNA from 1 species